AGUGAACGCUGGCGGUAGGCCUAACACAUGCAAGUCGAACGGCAGCACAGAGGAGCUUGCUCCUUGGGUGGCGAGUGGCGGACGGGUGAGGAAUACAUUGGAAUCUACUCUGUCGUGGGGGAUAACGUAGGGAAACUUACGCUAAUACCGCAUACGACCUACGGGUGAAAGCAGGGGAUCUUCGGACCUUGCGCGAUUGAAUGAGCCGAUGUCGGAUUAGCUAGUUGGCGGGGUAAAGGCCCACCAAGGCGACGAUCCGUAGCUGGUCUGAGAGGAUGAUCAGCCACACUGGAACUGAGACACGGUCCAGACUCCUACGGGAGGCAUCAGUGGGGAAUAUUGGACAAUGGGCGCAAGCCUGAUCCAGCCAUACCGCGUGGGUGAAGAAGGCCUUCGGGUUGUAAAGCCCUUUUGUUGGGAAAGAAAUCCAUCUGGUUAAUACCCGGGUGGGAUGACGGUACCCAAAGAAUAAGCACCGGCUAACUUCGUGCCAGCCGCCGCGGUAA
rnacentral:rRNA from 1 species